AAGAAAGCGCCAUUUUGCAGAGAGGCAGCUGGUGUGUCUUUGUUAACGUGCGCGUAUCAUAGCGCUCGGCGUGGUUGGCUAGGGUCGUAAUUUUCAAGUUAAAAUUAAUUUACAGUUUAAGAACAUUGAAUGUUCAUUUUUUAACAUUUAUUUUGAUUUUCAGGUCGACAUUUUUCUUCAGUUUGUAUUGUAUUAUCAGAGGUAAACAUGAGUUAUGGUAGGCCACCGCCCGAUGUUGAGGGAAUGACUUCUCUCAAGGUGGAUAACCUGACGUACCGCACCUCGCCGGAGACCUUGCGGCGGGUUUUUGAGAAGUACGGGCGGGUCGGGGACGUGUAUAUUCCCCGAGACCGCUACACUAAGGAGAGCCGCGGGUUCGCCUUUGUGCGGUUCCACGACAAGCGUGAUGCAGAGGACGCGAUGGACGCAAUGGACGGCGCGGUGCUGGAUGGGCGGGAGCUGCGCGUCCAGAUGGCCCGCUACGGACGGCCGCCUGAGUCACACCACGGGCGCCGAGGAGGCCCGCCACGAAGGUAUGGGAGCUCCGGGAGGAGAAGCAGGAGUCCUCGACGACGCAGACGCAGUCGCUCCCGAAGCAGGAGUCGUUCAAGGUCCCGCAGCCGCUCGCGGUACAGCAGAUCAAGAUCCCGUUCCUACUCCCGCUCCAGGUCUCGCUCCAAAACUCGUUCCCCACGCAGAAUCAAGUCCAAAUCUAAGUCAAAGUCUUUGUCCAGGUCUAAGUCAAAGUCGCGGUCCAGGUCUAAGUCCAAGUCCCACUCCAGGUCCCGAAGCCGCACACCAGUCUCUGCCAGAAACUCCAAGUCCAGGUCGAGGUCCAAGAGCGUGCCCAAGUCUCCAGAAGAGGAGGGAGCAGUGUCCUCAUAACUCAAUGCUGCUGUUUCCUGUUUGCAAAAAAGGAGUUUGGUGCAGUUUGUGCAGAGUUAGAGAUUGUGUGAUCCGCCCUGGGGCCGCCUCCUGCUGUUGGGGUAUGCUUUGGAGCAGACUUCUUGGAUGAACAACCAAAGCCAGUGAAGGCGUCCCUUUGAAAGUAAGGUCUCUCUGAAAGUGACAGAGAUCCCCACAACAAACUGGCUGAUAAAAAAAAAAGGUUAUUAUUGUACCAAUUUAUGGCCUAUAAAGAUUUAAGUUUUUUUUUUCCCUUCUGCAUAGAAAAUGAGGUUAAUUUGUAUGUGCCAUCUUGUUCCAAUUUCUAAGCAUUUAAUAGGAAGGACAACAGUUUACAUUUUGGGAUUGUAUAAGUGAGGUAAAGCAAAAACAAUUGAACUGUAUUUGUUGCAAGUGCUUAAUCCAGUGCUGUGGUUUCCUUAGUUUAGUAAUUAAAGAUUUUAAAACUUCCAUAAUGGAAAACCUGAAUUAGUUCAGUAGUAUAAUAAAGGUACACAAGCAGUAUUUAAUUUUACUUGCUAUUGCUAACUAAUUGAGACCACAGUUGCUUUGAGAAGUUGGAGUGAAGACUAAAAUUUGCAAUUCUUUUGCUACAACAAGUAAGGUUUUACAAUUUAGUGGUAACAAUCAACCAGUUGCCCAUUACAGUCUACUGACAGAUUAAGUGUUGGUUUUAGAGAUUUUUAAGACAUUAGACUUUUUAUUAAAAAAUCUUGGUAUAGAGUCUAAAAUACUAUAUGAUCUGCAGUAGUUGCAUUUGAAACCCAGCACAGACUUUGAUUUUAUUUAAUGUUUAAUCUUAUUUGUAAUUCUAAUCUUUUCUCUUGUGUAUUUUUUGUGCACUAGGCGCAGUUGUGUAGCAGUUGUAUUGCUGGUUAGCUGUUAAGGUGGCGUGUUGCAGUGCAGAGUGCUUGGCUGUUUCCAGUUUUCUCCUGAUUGCUCCUGUGUAACGAUGCCUUGGCGUGCCGGUUUUAUUUUUUAUUUUAAUCUGGUCUGCUGCACUUCCUGAAACCAGGGUCACAUGAGUUGUGUUUUUUUUUUCUUGUAAAAUUGGAGCAUACAGUGAGCACAUCUAGCCAUUUGUUACACACCUUAUGGUAAUAGUAGCAUUGAGUACAUUCAACUGUAAUUGCAUUUAAUAGACUGCACUUGGUACAAUCCUUUUGUAAUUUGUAUAUUCUGCUAAAAUUUCUGUACUUGUAACCACUGUUCUGUGAAUGCUAAUAAAAUCUUUUCUUUUGGUGUA